CUUUACCUCAUCUACCUAAGGCAGCCACCUCAUGCCAGCAGCAGCAAUUAGCCACCACUGCACCCCUGCCUCUGACAGAACAGAAGGACCAUUAUAAAGAUGAUUCAGAGGGAUUUUAGAGAAGCUUCUAAAUGUUUUAUGGUUGGCCACAGUGAUUUGCCAAAGCCUACAACCUUGAGAUGCAGAGAGAGAGUUCCUAGCUGCAACUGUAUAUAUCUGAAUCAUGGCAGAAAUGAUCUUAUUCUGGAAGCCAGACUAUUAGCCAC